rnacentral:rRNA from 1 species
AUGCGAUCCUCCGGCCUCGCGCCCGACGUGGCCUGCUUCCACUCCGCCCUCCGCGCCGCACGCUCGCAUUGUGAUGUCUCCGCCGUUCUGGACAUCAUGUCCAGGUCCGGCGUCAACCCGACCGUCCCCCUGAUCGUGACCGCGGUGCAUAGGCUGGCGUACAGGGGCGACUUCGAAGGUGCCCGCUGUCUGAUUGACAAAAUGCCUGAGUUUGGAUGCGCGGCCAAUGUGGUGGUUUACACCGCGAUGCUCGACGGGAUGCUCGCUUUUGGUCAUGUGGAUGCCGCAGUGGGGCUGCUGGAGGAGAUGGAGGGUGGCAGACUCGGUGCUGGGUGUGUGCCCAAUGUGGUGUCGUACACGUGUUUGGCGAAAUGCCUGUGCCGAAAAGGGAGAAUGGUGGAAGCUCUGAGCGUGCUGGAUAGGAUGGUAGCUAGAGGGGUGAUGCCGAAUCGCGUUUUUGUGCGGACGCUGAUCGAUGGGUUUUGCGCGGCCAGGGGGGCUGGUUUGAUUUCCAAGGCAUAUGAUGUGGUGGAGCGUUUGGUCGUUGACGGAACUUUGUCAAGCGGGCAGUGCUAUAAUGUUCUUCUGGUAGGCUUGUCUGUGGCUGGGAUGACAAGGGAAGCUGAAGGCCUCGCGCAGAGGAUGAUGAAGACAGGGGUGCAGCUGAGCCCGCUCGCAGGAAGUGCAAUGGCGAGGGAGCUGUGUCAGAGGAAAAUGUGGUUGCAUGCUUGCUGUUGGUUGAGACUGAUGGAUGAGAAUGGGGUGCUCUGUGAUUCUGAUGUCUAUGCUGACGUGUUGUUGGGGCUGUGUCAGGAGGGGCAUGUCCUUGAGGCCUCGGCGUUGGCGAGGAAGGUCAUGGAUAGGGGAAUACACAUUGACGCUUCCUGCGCUGAUUGUUUGGUGGAGUUACUGAAGCAACAUGGUGAUGAGGAGCUAGCAUCACAUGUAUUAGGAUUGAGCAGAUCGCCUGAAGUGAUGUCGCUGUGA